rnacentral:rRNA from 1 species
UGCCUUACACAUGCAAGUCGAACGGCAGCAUGGAGGAGCUUGCUCCUCUGAUGGCGAGUGGCGAACGGGUGAGUAAAGCAUCGGAACGUGCCGUGUAGUGGGGGAUAACGUAGCGAAAGUUACGCUAAUACCGCAUACGCACCGAGGUGGAAAGCAGGGGAUCGCAAGACCUUGCGCUAUACGAGCGGCCGAUGUCAGAUUAGCUAGUUGGUAGGGUAAAGGCCUACCAAGGCGACGAUCUGUAGCGGGUCUGAGAGGAUGAUCCGCCACACUGGGACUGAGACACGGCCCAGACUCCUACGGGAGGCAGCAGUGGGGAAUUUUGGACAAUGGGGGAAACCCUGAUCCAGCCAUGCCGCGUGAGUGAAGAAGGCCUUCGGGUUGUAAAGCUC